rnacentral:rRNA from 1 species
GACUUGCAUGCCUAAUCCACGCCGCCAACGUUCGUUCUGAGCCACUGCCCAGACUCCUACGGGAGGCUGCAGUCGAGGAUCUUCCGCAAUGCGCGAAAGCGUGACGGAGCGACGCCGCGUGGGUGAUGAAGGCCUUCGGGUUGUAAAGCCCUGUCACCUGGGAAGAAUGACGGGAGGUGAACAAUCUCUCGUUUGACGCUACCAGGGGAGGAAGCACCGGCUAAAUACGUGCCAGCAGCCGCGGUAAUACGUAUGGUGCGAACGUUGUUCGGAAUUACUGGGCAUAAAGAGCACGUAGGCGGUUGAGCAAGUCCAUUGUGAAAUCCCCCGGCUUAACCGGGGAACCGCAGUGGAUACUACUUGACUUGAGUGCAGGAGGGGAGAGCGGAAUUCCAGGUGGAGCGGUGAAAUGCGUAGAUAUCUGGAGGAACGCCGGUGGCGAAAGCGACUCUCUGGUCUGUUACUGACGCUGAGGUGCGAAAGCUAGGGGAGCAAACGGGAUUAGAUACCCCGGUAGUCCUAGCCCUGAACGAUGGGCACUAAGUAGAGGGGUUUU